GUAAACGUUUGGGACUGGCGCGUCUGAACGUUCGGCCGGUCGCGGCUCGCUAGCGACGAAGUGCAUGGGGCCACGCUAGCCACACGUCCACGUGACCCAUCGAGCACUCCCUCCCAUCAGUUUUUUAUUCCUUCCCUCCUUAUCUACUCCUUUCCUUCCAGCAUCUUCUUCCUCAUUACGAAGACAUCUCACUAGAAAACUCUAUCCACCGCCCAACUUGAGCUGUCGUGCUCUAGAUCCAUACCAAGCAUCCACGAGCUGGUUUUUGAGGGAGCCAGGCAGAGCUACGAGAGUGGGAGGCGGAGGGGAACUGGCUGACACCAAGAUAGCGGGAGGCGGAGGGGCGGCACAGCAAGCCGCAAGCCGCGACGGUGCCACUACAUGAUGCAACCGGCGGGAUGGGGAGCUGCAACCCCUUGCUAGCGGAGCUACAAUCGAGGCAUGGUUGAGCUGCAUCCAGUGACGGCCGCCGGACAGCUAGCUGCAAAGGGCGGUUCCCGGAGCUGCAACCGCCCGUUGGUCGAGCUGCAUACCGCGACGCACCCGACGACGAGCUGCAACCGUGCAGUACAAGCUGAUGGAGGGGCCGGCGACGACGAGCUACAAUAGGAUCAUUCGAAACCGGAGUACUGCACUAAGAGGUAAGCAGUGCAAGAUGCCGUACCUGUCGGACCUUGAAAGCAAUGUUGAACUACUGCAGCAGGAGACUAACUCACUACCUACAAGAGUGCAGUCGAUGGAGGUUUGUAAUUCUGCUGACUUAUUACAUGAUCAUGAGCAGAUGUUUUAGUGCUUUUGCUAUUUCUCUAUUUAUAAUUAUUUAAGUGAGAACCAGUUUAUUAGAUUACAGGAUUCAUGACUGUACAAAAUUAGAUUAAAAAAAUCUUAAUCUCGUGGUUGUAUCAUCCAUAUAUAAUGCGUUGAGAAAGGUUUUUCUAGAUAAAAAGGCAUAAAGUUGAAUUUAAAAUUAACGAAGGCAUCAACCAGAGCUAGAAUAUUUGGUGCUGAAUACAAAGGCAAAAAGCGUGAUAAAAACAUCUUUUUGUUAAGAAUUUACAUAAUAAAUUGAUGUUUUAUACAAUCUUCUUCUUAUUUCUUUUGAAUAUAUGUUUGUGGAGUACAACUGAUGAGCUUGUAACUGAAAACAAUAUGAUGAAGCUCAAGCUGCAUGGAUUGGAUCAACAAUACAAGCUGAUGAAUGAUAUUUUUCUCUCUUUCCUUGCAUCUCAAGUAACUUAUUUUAUGUUCUUGUGGUGAUGCACAAAGGAAAAUAGUGAUCACCAUUGUGCAAUACAAACCAACACACAUAACUUAUUUAUGCAUGAAGUGAGUUGGAGAUGGAUGAUGACAUACAGAUUUUUGAUUGUGAACUUAUACCAUAUGUUUAUGUUUUUUCCUUCUUGGUUAUAUGAGGUUUGGACAUUAGGAUCAAUAUGCUAUACUUAGCAUGUAUCUUGCUUUUUUACUAUAUAUAUUUCUCACAAAAUAUGUGUAUAUCACUAAGUUUGCCUCACUAGGAGCCUUAAACAAAAAUGAUAUACACGGAAUAGGAACAUCGAUCAUAUCGCACAAAUGCAAGUUCCGAUAAUUAUUGUGUUAUCACUGAUCCGAUUAAUUUCCUUAGCAUUCAGUUCUUGCAACCCUUGUCAUCAAUUUCGAGAGGUAAAUUAAUUAUUUUUUAUGCGCCAAUAUGUGCACUCGCACAUGCUAGCUAUUUUGCACCUCCCGGUUUUAUUUGCAGUAAAUCAACUAUGACAAUUCAAGGUUUUUAAGCUUAGAAUGUGUUAUGUGGAUUAUGUCAUGUUCUGAUGUGUAUUUUGCAUUUUGCUUCUAAAAUCCACAUAGUGAGUCAAUUCAGAAGUCUAUUUAAUUUUUUUGUCUAAUAUGUCUCUUCCAUUUGGUACGAAAACUACUUUUUUUCAUUUUAAAACUUGUUUACAUUUUAUCGAUUAUUUUGAUACCUUUGAUUGCCCACAAUCAUGUUAGCAUGACUUUUAGACAUGGUAAUUAACUUUUCGACUCUAUGCCCUCGCUUGGCCCCCUAGUUAUUUACUCCACAUUAACAUGUGCAAUCUUCUUUCUGUGGAUCAUUUGUACGACAUUGUUCCUUUUUACCUAGUCCAAUGACUAAGUUGGGUAUACGUUCAUGUUUCUGUAUACUGUUCUGAAUAAAACACUGGUUGUUGAAGUCUAACGCCUCAUAAUGCUCCAGCAAUAUCAACAUGUUCUUACAUGUACAAUAUCUUCUCCAUUGGUGCACGACAUGUAAUAUAAGUGGCAUGUCCUAGCUUAUUUACUUAUAUUACAUGAUGAAUACAUGUUUUUACAUGUACAAUAUCUUCUCCAUUUGAGCACGACGUGUCUAGGGCACCGUGCUCUCUGUUUCGAUCUUGUGAAGUAUGACGGUUCGAGGGAUAUAUGCUGAUAAAGAUAGGAAGUAGACCAUGGUGAAUAAGCUCCUCUUAGUGUUUUUGUUAACAGAAAAUAUUGUUGUUUCUUCCUGGGAAAGAAAUAAACUAGUAGAUUUUUUACAAGAUCAAUACACCUAUCCACAACAUCAUCUGCAAAUACAAAUUUAGCUUUCAUGUCGGGGCAUAGCGGGAGCCUCGAAUAUGCCUUCCCUUAGGUCGCACUCAGAUUGCAAUUAACUUGUUUUUGCUCCACUUCUCUACCCGCCUUCUAGUCGCUCUUGUUCUCUGGCAUUUAGGCCCGUGUGAAGUAGGACGCUAGUGUCAAGUAGGAAGCUUUGGACUACAUCUGGGAGAGGUUCCAGCUAGCUAGGGAGGAAUACUGGCAUUGUUAACGUAUCAACCUAAUUUCUAACAAAAGUUUUAAGUUACUAUAUCAAUCGCUAUCUAGGAAUUUAUUGCGCUUUCAGUGACUUGCGUAAAUAUAUCUAUAAUGCAUUUAUCAACCAUUUCAUAAAUUAUUUAACACUCACUUUAGUAUUUCUCUUCUACAUAAUAAACUUAUUUUCAUCAAUCUCCAUGAGGUGUCUUGAACCUUACCUACCUCAUAAAUAGUUUAUGUGUACGCUCUUUCGUGUGAAAUUUAUUUGCAGGUCAUUUGAAACCGGAGUACUGCACUAAGAGGUAAGCAGCGCAAGAUGGCUUACCUGUUGGGCCUUGAAAACAAGGUUGAGCUACUGUAGCAGUAGGCUAACUCACUACCUGCACAAGUGUAUUUGAUGAAGAGUACAGCUGAUUGGCUUGCAAGUGACAACAAUAUGAUGAAGCUCAAGUUGCAGGGAUUGGAGCAACAAUAUAAGCUGUUGAUUGGUAUUGUUUUCUCUUUCCUUGCAUCUCAAGUAACUUAUCUUAUCUUCUUGUGGUGGCGCACAAAGGAAAAUAGUGAUCACCAUUGGGCAAUACAAGACAACACAGAACUUAUUUCGGCAGGAUGUGAUUGGAGAUGGAUGAUGACAAAAGAUUAUUUAUUUGUGAACUUAUACCAUAUGUUUAUCGUUCUUGCCUUCUUGGUAGUAUCAUUUUUGGAUGUUAGGAUGAAUAUGGUAUACUUAGUAUAUCUUGCUUUUUUACUAUCAACUUUUCUCAUGAAAUAUAUUUAUAUAUCGAUAAUUUUGCCUCACCAGAAACCUUAAUUAAAGAAAAAUAAUAUACAUGGGAUAGGAAUAGAAAACAUAUUGCAUGCACAUAGCACAAAUGCAAGUUACGAAAAUUGUUGUGUUAUCACUAAUUCGAUUAGUUUCCGCAGCAUUUGGUUCGUGCGAUCUUUGUCAAUCAAUUCCGAGAGGUAGAUUAAUUAUUUUCAAAAGGCCAAUAUGUGGUUGCACAUGCUAGCUAAUUUGCAAAAUACACACGUAUACUACAAAUUCUAGUACAUGCUUACACGUGUGUCUGUGUGAGCAUGUUUUUUGGAGAAAAGGCCAAAACACCCAACUUUAAAUUGAUAAAGUCCUUGUUAGGGGUGAGCGGACACAGAUCAUUGAUAUCAUGUUGCUCCAAAUCUUAUAUAACUAUGUAAUAGUUUUCCCAAUCUUAAUACAUAGACACACAAGUCUCAUGCGUGUUGUGGUAAACACAAAUUAAUAAAGCCCCAAACGGCCAAAAGAUAGAUAGAUGUUGAAUUACAACACGACACACCAAAUUGUUAUUGGGUACAAAUUGUUUCUUUAGCGAAUUGGUUAAAUAUAUCUUUAGUGCAUUAGCUAACCAGCUCAUAAAUUAUUUGCUAAUGACUUAAGACCCACUUUACUAUUUCUCUUUAAAUAAUAAAUGUUAUUUUCCUCAAUCUCCAUGAGGUAUUUUGAACCUUUUUAAGGACUUCAACAUUUUAUCUUUGCUUGCUUAGAUGUUAGAAAGUUUUCUAUGUUACGACCAUUGAAGUAAAAACACAUACUUGGGCUUGGUCCUGUACAUUUAUAUGUUUCGUGACAAAUUGAGAUUGUGUGUUUAUGUGUUCUAAUACCAGAAAGAUUUGCUAUUUUUAUGAAUUCAUAAUUUCCUCCUUGAUUUAUUAGCAGCAGAUCAAUUAUGUCAGUCCUAGGUUACCAAUUUCAGUUUUUGUAAACUCAGAAUGUGCUAUGUGCAUUAAGUCAUGUUCUAAUUUGUAUUUUGCAUUUGCUUCUAAAAUUUGCAUUGUGAAUCAAUUUAGAUUUUGAAUUAUUAUUUUUGUCUAAUAUAUCGCUUCCAUUUGGUAAGAAUUUUUUUUCUUUUUAAACUUUUUGACAUUGUAUCGGCAUAUUUUCAUAACUUUCAUUGCCCACAAUCAUUUUAGCAUGACUUUUAGACAUGUUAAUUAACUUUCUGAUUUCAAACCUUAGCUAGGCCCCCUAUUUAUUUUCUCCACACACUACUAGGGAAAAGCCUAUACACAGAAUCUUAGCAGCAGCGCGGCUCAAAAAGGAGCGCUACUGCUAACCAGUAGUAGCGCGUGUGCGGGAAACUCGCUGCUGAUAAGUUUUUAGCAGUAGCGCGCUUGGC